AGCAGAGAAGUGAAACUACCAGAAUGGAGAUAGAGAUGUAUGAAGAGAUAUAUGAAGAUAUAAGAUAUAUGAAGAUAUAAGAAGAGAUAUAUGAAGAAAUCUGUCACAGAGGUUUGACCCUACAAAAGUUGGGAAUGUGGUUAAACUGUCUCUGUAAGGCUGUUACUUUUGGAUCCGUGGCUGGAGCUUGAAGUCCACAAGGCAGGGAGUCAUGAAGGGAAGAUAGAGGAGACUCACGACAAGCUGGAAUGCAGAAGCACAAGCCAUGGUCACGGGGACCGCCUGAAACAAAAGCUACCUUCUGCUGCCCCUGACCCUGACAUCCUGCAGAAGCCGGAGUCCUUUGUUCCAGAAUUAAAAACACAUUUGACUCAAGAGUCAAAACUGAAAGGAGGAUCCGGCAGAAGACCGAGCAACUUGCCCUCUCUGGCUUUCUGGCCUGGCUGCUGCCACAUGCCACAGAGGUGAACCAGAAGAUAAGCAACAAUAUAUGUGAGCUACAAAGUGACUACUGUAUCACUCCUGUAAAUCUCACACAAGAAUCUCUUUUGUGACCCACCCCAGCCAGAAACACAUAAAAGGGAAUUCCAGGAAAAGGCUGCUGGGGAUGAGUUUAUCGUUGUGUGGUGCCAGCCAGAAAAACACUAUUUUCUCACUGGAAUUCAUAUGAGGUCAUUUACCCUUAAAAGGGUUCCAAAUUGAGUGACCUUGAAGAUUCCAUUUUAUUCUUGGCUCAGAAGAGACAGAGAUUAUCCUGGAGCUUAAUAUAAGAUAUAAUGUGCAAGGACACUGCCUUUCCAGUCCACCCCAUUCCCAAAGAUGAUCCCAACCUGCACUCCCUGAAGUUCUACCAAUCAGAGACAAGAGAGUGGAUGGGAUAGCUCUGGUCCCCACAACAUCCUUAACGACAUUUGAUGAGAAGACAGUCUUCUAGAAGAAAGGAACUGAAGAGCAUGACUGCUUUAUUAAUUAAACUUUGGAAGACUCACA